UAAAGUUGUUGCAGUUAAAAAGCUCGUAGUUGAAUUUCGGGAUCAAUAUAUCGGUCGUGCUUCGGUAUGUACUGGUAUUAUUGAUUUCUCCCUUCUGACGAACUAUGAUGUCAUUAAUUUGGUGUUAUGGGGAAUCAGGACUGUUACUUUGAAAAAAUUAGAGUGUUUAAAGCAGGCACACGCUUGAAUACAUUAGCAUGGAAGAAUGAAAUAGGACGUUUGAUCUUAUUUUGUUGGUUUCUAGGAUCGACGUAAUGAUUAAUAGGG
rnacentral:rRNA from 1 species